CUUAUUUCUACAAGGCCUGGGACACUGGAAGCUGCCAGGACUUCAUUCAUCACCUUGCCUACUGAGAGAUGUUA